ACCGAAUAGAUACCCAGGUAGUCCUAGCCCUAAACGAUGAUCGCUUGGUGUGGCGGGUAUCCAAAUCCUGCCGUGCCGUAGCUAACGCGUUAAGCGAUCCGCCUGGGGAGUACAGUCGCAAGGCUGAAACUCAAAGGAAUUGACGGGGGCCCGCACAAGCGGUGGAGCAUGUGGUUUAAUUCGACGCAAUGCGAAGAACCUUACCUGGGCUCGAAAUGAAGUGGACCGGGGUAGAAAUAUCCCUUCCCAGCAAUGGGCUGCUUUAUAGGUGCUGCAUGGCUGUCGUCAGCUCGUGUCGUGAGAUGUUGGGUUAAGUCCCGCAACGAGCGCAACCCUUAUCUCCAGUUGCCAUCAUUCAGUUGGGCACUCUGGCGAAACCGCCUCGGAUAACGGGGAGGAAGGUGGGGAUGACGUCAAGUCCUCAUGGCCUUUAUGUCCAGGGCUACACACGUGCUACAAUGGCCGGUAUAAACCGCUGCAAACCCGCGAGGGGAGCUAAUCGGAAAAAGCCGGCCUCAGUUCGGAUCGCAGUCUGC
rnacentral:rRNA from 1 species